AGAAUCAACGCUGGCGGCGUGCCUAACACAUGCAAGUCGAACGCGAAAGUCCCGCAAGGGAUGAGUAGAGUGGCAAACGGGUGAGUAACACGUGGGUGACCUGCCUUCGAGCGGGGGAUAACGUCCCGAAGGGGACGCUAAUACCGCAUGACAUCCUGCCUUUGAAGAGGUGGAGAUCAAAGCUGGGGAUCGCAAGACCUAGCACUUGAAGAGGGCCCGCGUCUGAUUAGCUAGUUGGUGGGUAACGGCUCACCAAGGCAACGAUCAGUA
rnacentral:rRNA from 1 species